AAAUAUUUACAAUAGAGCAAAUUUUUCGUCAUACGCCUCGAAGUAGAAUAAUUUGAUAAGUUUAAUUUAAUCAUACCAUCUGACUCUUCUAUUUCAAUCAUAUAAGAAAAAUUAACACCAAAUAACCUGACUCUAAUACCACUUGUUGGGAAAAAUUAUUAGAGUGGAAUAAUUCUUUUCUGUCUUUGUGUAUCAAAAUGAGAUUCC
rnacentral:lncRNA from 1 species